rnacentral:rRNA from 2 species
CAGCAGUGAGGAAUAUUGGUCAAUAGCCUAACGGCUGAACCAGCAACUUGGAGGAAUGUAUAGGUAAAGCUAAAUGUAUUUUUUAGUAGUAAUACAUAUUCGAUUUAUUCGUAUAAAGUUCUAGAUAGAAUUAUGAUAAUGACAUUGUCUAUCUAUAAGUCUUGGCCAAGCUACGUGCCAGCAGUCGCGGUAAGACGUAAAAGACUAGUGUUAUUCAUCUUUAAUAGGUUUAAAGCGUACCUAGACGGUAAUCAAGCCUUAAGGGGACUAAUUUAACUAGAGUUAGAUGUAAGGGUGCAUAAACGUACUGUUGUGUGUAGAGAUGAAAUUCUUUUAUACCAGAUUAUUGGCACGGGUUAAGGCGAAAGCAUCACCUUAUGUAAUAACUGACGUUGAGAGACGAAGGCUUUGUGUCGCGAACAGGAUUAGAUACCCUAGUAGUCUAAGCAGAAAAUGAUGAGUGUCAUAGGCUAAAUAUUAUUUGGUCUAUAAAUGAAAGUGUAAGCAUUCCACCUCAAGAGUAAUUUGGCAACAUUGGAAUUGAAAUCAUUAGACCGUUUCUGAAACCAGUAGUGAAGUAUGUUGUUUAAUUAGAUAAUCCACAAAGAACCUUACCACAAUUUGAAUA